CCUCCCACCCGUGUUUACUGUACCUUAGUUGCUUCGGCGGGCCCGCCAUUCAUGGCCGCCGGGGGCUCUCAGCCCCGGGCCCGCGCCCGCCGGAGACACCACGAACUCUGUCUGAUCUAGUGAAGUCUGAGUUGAUUGUAUCGCAAUCAGUUAAAACUUUCAACAAUGGAUCUCUUGGUUCCGGCAUCGAUGAAGAACGCAGCGAAAUGCGAUAACUAGUGUGAAUUGCAGAAUUCCGUGAAUCAUCGAGUCUUUGAACGCACAUUGCGCCCCCUGGUAUUCCGGGGGGCAUGCCUGUCCGAGCGUCAUUGCUGCCCAUCAAGCACGGCUUGUGUGUUGGGUCGUCGUCCCCUCUCCGGGGGGGACGGGCCCCAAAGGCAGCGGCGGCACCGCGUCCGAUCCUCGAGCGUAUGGGGCUUUGUCACCCGCUCUGUAGGCCCGGCCGGCGCUUGCCGAACGCAAAUCAAUCUUUUUCCAGGUUGACCUCGGAUCAGGUAGGGAUACCCGCUGAACUUAAGCAUAUCAAUAAGGCGGA
rnacentral:rRNA from 1 species